UCCAUGGGGUCGGGUACUCUUUCCCUCCCCUACCCUGCCCUCCCCUAGCGGUGGCUGACACACUGUUCUCGUCUAUCUCCCGGGGAUGCCCUGCCCUCCCCUGGUGUGCUGGGGACCGAUGACCGUGGGGAAUUUGAUCUUGUGGCGCCCGUCGAACGUCGAGAGGUUUAUGAGGAUGGAACUACCACCAUAUCUACCCAGCGUUUUGGUUUGGUCUUGUGAUGCUGACGCACAUUGUCUUUCAUGUUCCUACUAUUUGCCUUUUAGUUUUGACUUGUGAUCCCGACGCACAUUUUCUUUCUACAACUGUGAUAUUUCCCUCCUUCAUUGAUGAAUGCAACUGCAUGAAUGGGACAGCGAAGCCGCUGUCAUGAAAAUUGCAGAAUGAUGACAGAGAUACGAAGGCGUGAAAUAAAAGGCAAAUGUGAAGCUCUUGCAUCAAUCCUCAGACUGCUUCCUGCAAAAUUUCCCGCAUAACUACAACAUGAGAUUGGCUACUUAAUAGUAUGGAGAGGACAAGAUCGAAAAGGAUGGUGAUAUAAGGAAAGCGGGGAGUGGAAGAGGAAGAAAGUUGGGAUGACAAUUAUAAAUAGAAUAUCGAGUUUGAUGAUGAUGAUGAUGAUUGGAACCAAGAGGAGGAACCAAUUUUUCCUGCUAGAAAGAACGCAAGUGACUUAUUUAAUCUCAGAGAUAUGUCCCCGUUAUCACUUUUGAGGAGUCAUUGUUCCAGUCACACAAAAUGUUGACAAAUGUAUCAUUUACAAUGACCAUUCAAUUGUAAUUUCAGUGCCACGUCAUAAAAUUUCAACUCACCAGUUCAGCCCCUUCCAUAAGAUAUUGCAUCAAAGGUCGGAAGUGAAUCGUGCAAUACAUCAAUCUAAUAUUAGUUAUAAUCGGCUGACCAUGUAGGAUGUACCACUUGUGAUGUAUUACACUCCAUAUUUCCUUACAUUUGUG